rnacentral:misc_RNA from 1 species
AAGUCGUAACAAGGUUUCCGUAGGUGAACCUGCGGAAGGAUCAUUAAAGUAUAUGCUGUUGGCUAAUUCAGUCGACUCUAUAUUUUGUGAAAACACUGACAAACAGUUUUAUUUGGGGUUUAAAGAGGUCUGCCGCAAGGUUAGACGACCCCAAACACAUUUAAUAACUACUAUCUUAUUCUGACUGACUGUUAUUUCAAUUUAUAAUUGACAAAAUAACUUUCAACAACGGAUCUCUUGGUUCUC